rnacentral:rRNA from 1 species
CACGUAGUUAGCCGGUGCUUCUUCUGCAGGUACCGUCACUUUCGCUUCUUCCCUGCUGAAAGAGGUUUACAACCCGAAGGCCUUCGUCCCUCACGCGGCGUCGCUGCAUCAGGCUUUCGCCCAUUGUGCAAUAUUCCCCACUGCUGCCUCCCGUAGGAGUCUGGGCCGUGUCUCAGUCCCAGUGUGGCCGGUCGCCCUCUCAGGCCGGCUACCCGUCGUCGCCUUGGUGGGCCAUUACCCCCACAACAAGCUGAUAGGCCGCGAGCCCAUCCUUGACCGAUAAAUCUUUCCAACCGCGCAGAUGCCUGUGCGGUUCGUAUCCGGUAUUAGCUCCGGUUUCCCGGGGUUAUCCCAGAGUCAAGGGCAGGUUGCUCACGUGUUACUCACCCGUUCGCCACUGAUCAGCUGGAGCAAGCUCCAGCAUCACCGUUCGACUUGCAUGUGUAAGCACGCCGCCAGCGUUCGUCCUGAGCCGAGGAUCGAAACUCU